rnacentral:rRNA from 1 species
UACGUAGGGGGCAAGCGUUGUCCGGAAUCAUUGGGCGUAAAGCGCGUGUAGGCGGUCCGAUAAGUUCGCUGUGAAAGUCGGGGGCUUAACCCUCGGAUGCCGGUGAAUACUGUCGGGCUUGAGUACGGAAGAGGCGAGUGGAAUUCCUGGUGUAGCGGUGAAAUGCGCAGAUAUCAGGAAGAACACCAAUGGCGAAAGCAGCUCUCUGGGACGGUACUGACGCUGAGGCGCGAAAGCGUGGGGAGCGAACCGG